GGAGUCGGCCGGAUGAUCGCUGCACGCUUCGCGUGUGGAGGAAAGUCCGGGCUCCAUAGGGCAGGGUGCCAGGUAACGCCUGGGCGGCGAAAGCCGACGGAAAGUGCCACAGAAAACAUACCGCCGAUGGCCUACGGGCACAGGUAAGGGUGAAAAGGUGCGGUAAGAGCGCACCGCGCGGGUGGCAACACGCCGUGGCAGGGUAAACCCCACCCGGAGCAAGGCCAAAUAGGGGUGCAUUGGUGUGGCCCGCAUCGCACCCGGGUAGGCCGCUACAGGCGCGCGGCGACGCGCGUCGCAGAUGAAUGAUCGUCCUCGACAGAACCCGGCUUACAGGCCGGCUCCCCCU
rnacentral:RNase_P_RNA from 1 species